rnacentral:rRNA from 1 species
UACAGAGGGUGCAAGCGUUGUUCGGAAUUAUUGGGACGUAAAGGGCGCGUAGGCGGUGCGGUAAGUCUGUAAGUGAAAUCUCUGGGCUCAACUCAGAGUCUGCUGACAGAAACUGCCGUGCUUGAGUGUGGGAGGAGGUGAGUUGGAAUUCCCGGUGUAGCGGUAGAAAUGCGUAGAUAUCGGGAAGGAACACCUGUGGCGAAAGCGGCUCACUGGGACCACACUGACGCUGAGGCGACGAAAGCUAGGGGGAGCAAACAGGG